GAUGAACGCUGGCGGCGUGCCUAAUACAUGCAAGUCGAGCGAACAGACGAGGAGCUUGCUCCUCUGACGUUAGCGGCUGACGGGCGAGUAACACGUGGAUAACCUACCUAUAAUACUGGGAUAACUUCGGGAAACCGGAGCUAAUACCGGAUAAUAUAUUGAACCGCAUGGUUCAAUAGAGAAAGACGGUUUUGCUGUCACUUAUAGAUGGUUCCGCGCCGCAUUAGCUAGUUGGUAAGGUAACGGCUUACCAAGGCAACGAUGCGUAGCCGACCUGAGAGGGUGAUCAGCCACACUGGAACUGAGACACGGUCCAGACUCCUACGGGAGGCAGCAGUAGGGAAUCUUGCACAAUGGGCGAAAGCUUGACGGAGCAACGCCGCGUGAGUGAUGAAGGUCUUCGGGUCGUAAAACUCUGUUAUUAGGGAAGAACAAAUGUGUAAGUAACUAUGCACGUCUUGAUGGUACCUAAUCAGAAAGCCACGGCUAACUACGUG
rnacentral:rRNA from 1 species